AGCGAACGCUGGCGGCAUGCCUAACACAUGCAAGUCGCACGGGGGGGCUUCGGCCUCCCAGUGGCGGACGGGUGAGGAACGCGUAGGGACCUGUCGAGGGGUGGGGGAUAACCGCGGGAAACUGCGGCUAAUACCGCAUGACGCCGCGGCGUGACAGCCGGGGCCAAAGGCGAAAGCCGCCCGCCGAGGGGCCUGCGUCCGAUUAGCUGGUUGGCGGGGUAGCGGCCCACCAAGGCGUCCAUCGGUAGCUGGUCUGAGAGGGUGAUCAGCCACACCGGGACUGAGACACGGCCCGGACUCCUACGGGAGGCAGCAGUGGGGAAUAUUGGACAAUGGGCGCAAGCCUGAUCCAGCAAUGCCGCGUGGGUGAAGAAGGUCUUCGGAUUGUAAAGCCCUUUCGGCGGGGACGAUGGUGACGGUACCCGCAGAAGAAGCCCCGGCUAACUUCGUG
rnacentral:rRNA from 1 species